UACGUAGGGUCCGAGCGUUGUUCGGAAUUACUGGGCGUAAAGCGCGUGUAGGCGGCUGCGCAAGUCGGAUGUGAAAUCCCAUGGCUUAACCAUGGAAGUGCACCCGAAACUGCGUAGCUAGAGUCUCGGAGAGGAAGGCGGAAUGCUUGGUGUAGAGGUGAAAUUCGUAGAUAUCAAGCGGAACACCGGUGGCGAAGGCGGCCUUCUGGACGAUGACUGACGCUGAGACGCGAAAGCGUGGGGAGCAAACAGG
rnacentral:rRNA from 1 species